rnacentral:lncRNA from 1 species
AACGCUCAACUAGGUCUCCGUACCAAACUUUGUCACGACUAUGUCGGUUGCUGCUUGAAGGGCCACGUGAUCAUCACAAUUGCUCGGGAAAAAUGAGAAAUUACUGUAUCGCGCCAACGAAAUGUUCUUAUUAAAGAGUUUUAGAUGUGCGUAGGGAAAGACCAAGAGUGACUGCAACCGAAUUAUAAUUACCACGUAGUAGAAUGGGACAUCGAUUGAAUCUACACUAGAAAACGGUUCAGGAUUUAACAUUUGACUAAUGUUCAGAUUUUGCUUGCAAAUCUUAGUGCAUCCAAUUACAUGUUUAAACUCGAAGAGAGCUUGAACAGUGGUAGAACAAUUUUACUUGCAAUGUAAAUUAUUUUGCUUUUCUUAAACUGUUUAGUUGUUGAAAAUGUUGUUGUAUAAAAGAUUAUUUAAAA